rnacentral:rRNA from 1 species
UUUGCCUGCUAUCUCNNNCCAUGUCUUUUGAGUACCUUCGUUUCCUCGGCGGGUCCGCCCGCCGAUUGGACAAUUUAAACCAUUUGCAGUUGCAAUCAGCGUCUGAAAAAACUUAAUAGUUACAACUUUCAACAACGGAUCUCUUGGUUCUGGCAUCGAUGAAGAACGCAGCGAAAUGCGAUAAGUAGUGUGAAUUGCAGAAUUCAGUGAAUCAUCGAAUCUUUGAACGCACAUUGCGCCCCUUGGUAUUCCAUGGGGCAUGCCUGUUCGAGCGUCAUUUGUACCUUCAAGCUUUGCUUGGUGUUGGGUGUUUGUCUCGCCUCUGCGUGUAGACUCGCCUCAAAACAAUUGGCAGCCGGCAUAUUGAUUUCGGAGCGCAAUACAUCUCGCGCUUUGCACUCAGAACGACGACGUCCAAAAGUACAUUUUUACACUCUUGACCUCGGAUCAGGUAGGGAUACCCGCUGAACUUAAGCAUAUC